rnacentral:rRNA from 1 species
UACGGAGGAUCCAAGCGUUAUCCGGAUUUAUUGGGUUUAAAGGGUGCGUAGGCGGAAUGAUAAGUUAGUGGUGAAAUUCUAUGGCUUAACUGUAGAACUGCCAUUAAUACUGUUGUUCUUGAGUAUAUUUGAAGUGGGCGGAAUGUGUCAUGUAGCGGUGAAAUGCUUAGAGAUGACACAGAACACCGAUAGCGAAGGCAGCUCACUAAGUUAUAACUGACGCUCAGGCACGAAAGCGUGGGGAU